UUUUAGUAACAGCCACUCGACACGGGCUGGAACAGUGAUCAACCUGGGGACACGCCUGGGCCUCAGGCUCCUUCCCUUGGCACCGGGGAAAGCGGGGAGGCGCCGCUCCCUCCCGAGGCCCAGCGACAAAGCGCCCGCGCCAGCCGCUCAGAACCCCCAACCCCGCUUCGGAUCGCCGGCGUCUCGCAGAGAAGCGGCGCGGACGCCUCCAAACACGCCCGGCUGCGAAGAUCUGGGCGGAGGCAGCUCUCCCCCCACCCGCGGCUCCCCGGGGCCGCUCGCCCCUCCCCCCACUAGGGGGUCCCCUAGAGCCGCGGAGAGCGGCGCAGGCUGAUGACCCGCAGCGACGCGACCCCCAACCACUGGGGCGACGAGACUGAUGCCCCCCCAUUGCGCUGCGGAGGGGGGGGAGCAGAUGCGGGGGGGGGGGGUUAUCUCCACACUCGGCCUCGGUUCAGCGAGCGGGGGGCGGGGAGUCCUCUUGCCCAAGCGCCCCGGAGCCCGGCCGCCACCUCUCCCGCGCGCUCCCCAGCCGGCCGCUCGGGACGCCGCCGCCGCGCAGAAAGCUUAGCAGAAUCUGUCAAACUGUUGUGCCAGCUGCAGAGCCAUACCAGGAAAGACAGGAGAAGAUGAAUGAUUUUGUUGAUGCUUAACCAACACUCCUUCUGUACCAAGCUAAAGCUAGUGUAGGAUAUCUUUAUGUUUGCUGACUUCUGGAAAAUUAUGUUCAAAACACGAUAAGAACCUGCAGCUGCUGAAAGAAAGAAAAACAAGAUGGAAACAGUUGUCUCUGCUCUGAUUGUUGUUUAUGUCCUGGAUGAAGGAAGAAGAGCUCUGGGAAUUCAACUGAGACAUAUGUAUCAGAGGUUAUCUGGAUUACUAGUGUGUUAUUUUUAUAAAGGUCCAGAGAAAGCUAUUAUGCUGGCCAUGACAUCCUGGGAGUGAACAAAGAUUCUUUUGCAGGAAUGUAAACUAUCUCAUCAGAGGCCAUCUAGUUGAACACAUCCUUUUGUUACCUCAGAGCACAGAAUAAAUUACUUCCCUAAUGAUAAAAAAUAGCAGAGUGGCAAGGCCAUUAAGCAAAGCCAUUGUUUCACAUGUAUCUCAUGGAAACAAAGUACUAAAAACCCCCACCCUCCUCAAUACAUAUGAUGACUGAAUACAUAUGGGAAAGGCACUGCUAUUAAAAUACUGUAAUGCAAAUCAGUAGAAGAAAAACAGGACACUUUUGCCUCACUUACAAUGGGCAUUUAAUCAAAUUAGCUGAACUGAUUUUAAAUGGCUUAAAAGAGGUUAACAGUUUUAACGUGGAUUGACUGAACAAUUUAGCCUGGGCUAGACUGAAUGUAUCUAUCUAAGGUAUUUAUCUGGUCCCCAUCACUACAGUAUCUGAAUACCUCACAAUCUUGAAUGUAUUUAUCCUCACAAUACUCCUGUGAGGUAUGUAAGUAUUAUUUUUACAGAGGGGAAACUGAGGCACGGAGCUCAAGUGAAUUGCCCAAGGUUACAGAGGAAGUCUGUGGUGGAGCAGGGAAUCCAACCUUCUGGCUAGCACCUUAUCCUCUCUAAACCCAAUUUAAACUUUUAAAUAUUUAAAUAGUUAAAACAUUUUCAGCUAACUCAAAGGCUCAGUGUAGUCAGGAUCUGAAGAAGGAGUGAUCUAUGGAAGUCUAGGAGAAAACAGAAUUAUAACCAUAGAAAGUAAGAUUAAAAGAGGAACCAAUUACAAUUGGAGAAAAUAUCACUUUGGAGAGUGAAGGAAAUGAUUGUCUCUAGUCCAAUUUAGCAAUUCAGGGAACUGAUGAUUCAGAGUCUUUCAUCUCUAGUUUACCAAUUAACAUAUAACCCAGGGUUGUAGUUAGAGACAGUUGUUACCAUCUUACGUUUGGCAGACUGUGCAAUGAAUUUUGAUGGUCUCAGUGCAGUUCUAUGUCACAGGAGUCAGUGUAGCAUCAUUUGGAAUUUUGUUGGUACUUGUAGCCUAAGCAGUGUGACACACCCAGACCAGUGGGAUACAGGUAGACGGCAAAUAUACUGGACACUGGAUGAGUAGUUUUCUGUUCCCUGAGUGACCAGAGCAGGGGCUGCACUAGAGUAAUCAGGAACUUGCUAGAACCAGUUAAGGCAGGCAGGCUAAUUAGGACACCUGGAGCCAAUUAAGAAGC